GUGGGGAAUCUUGCGCAAUGGGUGAAAGCCUGACGCAGCCAUGCCGCGUGAAUGAUGAAGGUCUUAGGAUUGUAAAAUUCUUUCACCGGGGACGAUAAUGACGGUACCCGGAGAAGAAGCCCCGGCUAACUUCGUGCCAGCAGCCGCGGUAAUACGAAGGGGGCUAGCGUUGCUCGGAAUUACUGGGCGUAAAGGGCGCGUAGGCGGACAGUUUAGUCAGAGGUGAAAGCCCAGGGCUCAACCUUGGAAUUGCCUUUGAUACUGGCUGUCUUGAGUACGGGAGAGGUGAGUGGAACUCCGAGUGUAGAGGUGAAAUUCGUAGAUAUUCGGAAGAACACCAGUGGCGAAGGCGACUCACUGGCCCGUUACUGACGCUGAGGCGCGAAAGCGUGGGGAGCAAACAGGAUUAGAUACCCGAGUAGUCC
rnacentral:rRNA from 1 species